rnacentral:rRNA from 1 species
GCCCUGCUUGCAGGGUACUCGAGUGGCGAACGGGUGAGUAACACGUGGGUGAUCUGCCCUGCACUUCGGGAUAAGCCUGGGAAACUGGGUCUAAUACCGGAUAGGAGCCAUUUUUAGUGUGAUGGUUGGAAAGUUUUUUCGGUGUAGGAUGAGCUCGCGGCCUAUCAGCUUGUUGGUGGGGUAAUGGCCUACCAAGGCGGCGACGGGUAGCCGGCCUGAGAGGGUGGACGGCCACAUUGGGACUGAGAUACGGCCCAGACUCCUACGGGAGGCAGCAGUGGGGAAUAUUGCACAAUGGGCGCAAGCCUGAUGCAGCGACGCCGCGUGGGGGAUGACGGCCUUCGGGUUGUAAACUCCUUUCGCUAGGGACGAAGCUUUUUGUGACGGUACCUAGAUAAGAAGCACCGGCUAACUACGUGCCAGCGGCCGCGGUAAUACGUAGGGUGCGAGCGUUGUCCGGAAUUACUGGGCGUAAAGGGCUCGUAGGUGGUUUGUCGCGUCGUCUGUGAAAUUCCGGGGCUUAACUCCGGGCGUGCAGGCGAUACGGGCAUAACUUGAGUACUGUAGGGGUAACUGGAAUUCCUGGUGUAGCGGUGAAAUGCGCAGAUAUCAGGAGGAACACCGAUGGCGAAGGCAGGUUACUGGGCAGUUA